CUUGCUUUUUCUGGAUAAGCUAUAAGCUCUAUGAGAGUGAGGUUUGUGUUUGAUUUGCUCAUUAUGAUUCCUACCUGAAAGUGAUUUCUAGAACAAUGUGAGUGGGAAAUAUUGAAUAGACACAAACCAUUUCAAUAACUAAGACGGACCAAAGCUAGUAUGUGACUCUUAUCUUUAGGUCCAACUCUGUAAAUGGAGAAGAAUGCUGUGCAGAAUAAUUGUUAAAGUAAAGACCAUUGCUAAGUUUGAUUAAUGGGUAGUGGCAACUUCUUCUGCAUCUCUUAUUAAAACACAGUAGCAGCUGAUGUCCAUAUAGCAAACCAUGAUAAGCUUAAAGACUUUCUAAAUGAAUACAGCAAGUUUCAACUAGGCAUAGUAGUGUUUGGAUAAAUCACUUGGAUAUUAUUAUUGUCAGUUCCCUUCUAUGCAAUUUAAGCAUAAUACAACUAUUUAAAAUUUUAAUGUGAAUUACAUGAGAUUUUUCUACAGAAAGAGCAUUGCAAAAAUUGUUGACAUAUAGCAAACAAUCAAUGAGUGAAUCCUUAUUAAACAAUCAAUGAGUGAAUCAUUAUUUUAAACAAUGGUAUUAUUAUUUACCUUAAUUUCCAUUUAAGAACACUGUAUUACCAUAUCCCAGCCAGACUGAAAUAUUAUACCUAUUCUUCCUUUUUUCAGACUUCAUCUAUGUAAUAGACCCUGGAAUAAAAUAUGUUUCCUGCCCUCCAGCUACUUGCUGCAUGAACAGACAUUUUGUGCUACUAUAAACACACUUUUUAGGCAUCAUUUUUUAGUUCUCCAUUUCACUGUCAAUCAAUUAAAUACAAGUCACAAAAUGAUGCCAAAAUUCCCAUUAAGCUUAUAACAACACUACAUAGGAAAUCAAGAGGUAAAACACCAGGGUGCUCCAAGAGUGAAUCCAAUCAAAUUAAAAGAAAGUCAAAGAGAAAAGAUAAAAUAGCUUCAAAAGAAUACCCACAGCUGUAGACUUGCCUGUCAAUCAGCAGGAGCCACAAGCCAAUCAGAGUUGAAGUAAAAAAUUGAAAGAAAAUGCAUUCGAAUCAGUUGCAUUCUACCAGAAGAGAGCAAAGAAGAAAAAACUAGUCAAGGGUACAAGGUGCAGAAAAAUCUGAUAAUCUAGCCUUACAUUUAAGCAUGCCAAUAAAGAUUAUAUGUAACAACCUAAAUUGGCA
rnacentral:lncRNA from 1 species